AUUGAACGCUGGCGGCAGGCCUAACACAUGCAAGUCGAGCGAGCGGCGGACGGGUGAGUAAUGUCUGGGAAACUGCCUGAUGGAGGGGGAUAACUACUGGAAACGGUAGCUAAUACCGCAUACCAUCAGAUGUGCCCAGGUGGGAUCUGCUAGUAGGUGGGGUAACGGCUCACCUAGGCGACGAUCCCUAGCUGGUCUGAGAGGAUGACCAGCCACACGGGAACUGAGACACGGGCCAGACGCCUACGGGAGGCAGCAUUGGGGAAUAUUGGACAAGGGGCGCAAGCCGGAUGCAGCCAUGCCGCGGGUGUGAAGAAGGCCUUCGGGUUGUAAAGCACUUUCAGCGGGGAGGCGUUACCCGCAGAAGAAGCACCGGCUAACUCCGUGCCAGCAGCCGCGGUAAUUC
rnacentral:rRNA from 1 species